AAACUUUCAACAAUGGAUCUCUUGGUUCCGGCAUCGAUGAAGAACGCAGCGAAAUGUGAUAAGUAAUGUGAAUUGCAGAAUUCCGUGAAUCAUCGAAUCUUUGAACGCAUAUUGCGCUCCCUGGCAGUCCAGAGAGCAUGCCUGUCCGAGCGUCAGU
rnacentral:rRNA from 1 species